AUUCUCCUGAAUCACACGGCAAGGCAGUGGGACACACCUGCCACGACCUAAUGAAACUGUAUGACAAGACAGGAAGUGGAAGAACAGACCCAGAUGAGUGAGCCUUAAAGAUUUACAGUGUGGAAAGUAAACCAAUCUGGGAGUUGAACGACCCAUAUGAAGAUAGAGAGCCUGUUAAGUAUCAAGGCUGGAGGGGCUCAGGUGGAGUAUAGUCAAGGCUCUGAUCCCACACCUGCACCAGGAGGAGCUUUGAAUUGAAGUGGUUCUCAGCCCUGCCACAAAAGGACCAGCUGACAUCCUGUCAGUGAUUCUCUCGUUAACACUGGCGUGAGUGUUGACGAGGACAAGUCUGGAGAUCACGCUGUCAUGCUGCUUGAGUUCGAAUAACAGACUGGAAGCUUCAAAAGG